UAUCUCUGUAGAGUCUGCAUAUCAAUAAGCGGAGGAAAAGAAACUAACUAGGAUUCCCUUAGUAACGGCGAGUGAAGCGGGAAGAGCUCAAAUUUGAAAUCUUCAAGGUUUUACCUUGACGAAUUGUAGUUUAAAGAAGUGUUUUCUGUUGGUGUUUUGGUAAAAGUUCUUUGGAAUAGGACAUCAUAGAGGGUGAGAAUCCCGUAUUUGACCAUUACUUUCAGCUGCUGUGAUACACUUUCAAAGAGUCGGAUUGUUUGGGAAUGCAGUCCAAAAUGGGUGGUAAAUUUCAUCUAAAGCUAAAUAUUGGCGAGAGACCGAUAGCGAACAAGUACCGUGAGGGAAAGAUGAAAAGAACUUUGAAAAGAGAGUUAAACAGUACGUGAAAUUGUCAAAAGGGAAGCGUUUGACACCAGUGUUGUUUUCUCGAAAAUCAAUUAAAAAAAGUUGGAUUUUGUAUUGUUAAGACCUUAUCAGCUUACUGUACUCUUUUCUUGCUUUUUUUAAUGCACUUUUCGUUUAACAAGUCAACAUCAAUUUCUUUUGUUGUAAAAGAGUCAUUGGAAGGUGGCUUUCACUUCGGUGAAAGUGUUUAUAGCCUUUGGCUUCUGCAAUCGGAGAGAUUGAGGUCUGCAGCGUAGAUCCUUCGGGGUUAGAUACAGUUAGAUGCUAAGUUAUAGCCUUUUCAUAGACAACUUGUUGACUAUAAUCAUCAUGUAGCUUACUCGCUUAUGCGCUAUUUUACCUACGCUUAGGAUGUUGAUCUGUAGUGCGUGCGC
rnacentral:rRNA from 1 species